ensembl:lncRNA
AGAAUUUGGAGGAUGCUACGUCAUCGACAUCUGUCGAAGGACUGUUCCAGUUUCAAGGAUCCUCGGAAUUUCAACCAAGAACUGAGUCCUUCAUUCGAAAAAUAUCCCAUAUACAGGAAAGGAUGCAUAUGUGUAGCCUUCGCGCUCUCAAAUCACCCACAAUCCUAUGCGCGCAGCUUUGCUAUCUUGUUCAAAAAAUUCAAACAUGUCGGACGUUAGCGGAGUCGGAACGUUAUCGGGGCAAUAUGCUUUCAAAUGUAAGUAUAUUUACAUUACCAAACAUUUGUUAUAACUAUAGCAAAUAUAAGUUAAGUUUAACGUUUAAAUGGCAGUACAACUUACUACCAUAUUGAUAUUAUAAAUUAUACAAAGUGUUAUUGAUGGCUAACUGAACCUGACCUGUCAUUUAACAAUUGUUAGCUUGGUUGCCGUCACCGGCAUUUCUUUUAUACUUAACUAGUUAAGUUGUCCAAAGUAAUUUAAUGUUAAGGGUAGAUGCACAUGUAAACUGCAUGAGCUGCCAUGUACAAACCUCUGUCAGUGUGUAAACUGUGACAAUAAGUCACUUGAAGAUGAUUAAGGCACAUGUGUGUAUGUUUGUACGCAUGUGGGGAGUGGUGUGUUUGCUACUCCUGCAGAAGUAAAUAUGUAUGACAUGUUUAUGUACAUUAUAACUCUGCUCUGUUUGAUAGCCUAUGUUUGAUAGCCUACACAGUAAAAUCUCCAGUGUUGAAAUCCCAGUGUUAAGGACUUUUAGAGUAAAGCGUUAAAGUUGUGGUGUUGAAUUUCAAACGAUUAACACUAGCUAGUGUAAACGGCACCCUCUUGCGGUGUUAACACGGAAAGUAACCCAUAUUAACACUGUUGAGUGUUAUUAAUAACAUCCGGGACAUUUUCUCGUGUGCGCGCAUAACCCAUCUGAAAUAUUUUUCAAAGACGCCAUUUUCUUUGCUCGCGAUGCGAAGUGCAUAUGGAAUUAAAACAGCGAAAUAAAGUGUUUAGUCUUACUUACAAAAUAUGUUUUGUAAUAUCAUAUCGUUUUAUAACGAUAUUUAUGUGCUGUAUGCGCCUAAACGUUUCUCAGAGACAUUUCCUUUCACUCGCGACGCGGAACAGACGAGGGCUUUUUUUUGAAACGGGAAAAUCCGAAAAGCGAUAUUUCAUUUCACCAGCGAUGCGAAGUAGACAGGGAAGUUGGUUUUAACAAGGAAAACACCGACAGUAACAGUUAAGUGUUUUACCUCAUUUACUU